rnacentral:tRNA from 3 species
GCGCAAGUGGCGGAAUUGGUAGACGCGCACGGUUCAGGUCCGUGUGCUGGCAACAGCGUGGGGGUUCAAGUCCCCCCUUGCGCACCG